rnacentral:lncRNA from 1 species
GUUUGUACAAAUUAUUUACAACCUUAUAAUGCUGAGUCAUAGAGGAUAAGAAAAGAACAAAACAGAGUUACAGUUUCACUAGUGAUGACAUGUUUCCAUAAGAAGCUGGAAUCUCGGAAUGGCUGAAAUUGUUGUUAUCAAGUUGUCUGCAUAAGAAAAUUCAGAACUUCAUCAUAAAUUUCAACCCAUCCGCUUCUCAGUGGAGCUGCAAAUGGCAUCGCAGUUAUUGUAUGACAAGGAUUACUAUAUAACAAGCAAAGAUUAUCGAUGAAUUUUAUAAAGAUUAAUCACAAAAAUAUUAAAACUAUCAAACUUUGAAUCCCUAGUUUUAAAAAUGUAAUGGAUUCAGUGGCAAGAAUGUAAAGAUUGAAACCAUCAAACUUAAAAUCAUAAAUGUACCUGUCUACAUCCAACAUAAAGUAUAUCUCCAUCAUAGCCAAAUGAUUAUCUAGAUCUCCUCGAUGAGAUAGUUCAGGGUUCAAAGCAUUCGGGGAAACAUGUAGGGUGACUGCAAAAUCAAGAAGAUGGGACCAAAAAAUAUGGAUCAAAUUUCGUUCAACUUACAAAAGUUUCAAAGACUUGAUGUAGACUCCCAGUCAAAUCAUUCCACAUGAAAUUCCUUUCAGAAAGAGAAUUA